rnacentral:rRNA from 1 species
UGAGUCUUGAUUACUUAUAAUUAACGGUAUUUCCUCGGCUUGGAAGGUAUUUGAUUAGACAUGAUAUUAUUGGUGUACGAAAGGAAAAGGUUAUAUUAAUAGC